GGAGUUAGCCGGUGCUUCUUCUGUGAGUGAUGUCCUUCCUGCCGGCUAUUAACCCGCAGGCCUUCUUCCUCACUGAAAGUGCUUUACAACCCGAAGGCCUUCUUCACACACGCGGCAUGGCUGGAUCAGGGUUGCCCCCAUUGUCCAAUAUUCCCCACUGCUGCCUCCCGUAGGAGUCUGGGCCGUGUCUCAGUCCCAGUGUGGCUGAUCAUCCUCUCAGACCAGCUACGGAUCGUCGCCUUGGUGAGCCGUUACCUCACCAACCAGCUAAUCCGACAUAGGCUCAUCCGAUAGCGCGAGGCCCGAAGGUCCCCCGCUUUCCCCCGUAGGGCCGUAUGCGGUAUUAGCCUGGGUUUCCCCAGGUUAUCCCCCACUACCCGGGCAGAUUCCCUAUGCAUUACCUCACCCGUCCGCCGCUCGCCACCAGGGAGCAAGCUCCCCGUGCUGCCGCUCGACUUGCNUGUGUAGCUCGCCGCCNCGCGUCAUCUCGAACCGAAGAUACAAUUACUGA
rnacentral:rRNA from 1 species